AGUGAACGCUGGCGGCAGGCCUAACACAUGCAAGUCGAACGGCCGCACAGUAAGCGCUUGCCCCUACUGGUGGCGAGUGGCGGAUGGGUGAGGCAUACAUAAGAAUCUUCUUUUUCGUGGAGGAUAUCGUAGAGCCAUAUCCGCUACUACCGAAUAUGAUCUACGGCAGAAAGCAAGGGAUCUUCGCAGCUUUCGCGACACUUUGAGAUGGUGCCGGACUAGAUAGUUGGCGUGGUAAAGGCCCACCAAGGCAACGCAACGUAGCAGGGCUGAGAGGAUGAUCGGCCACACUGGAACUGAGACACGGUCCAGACUCCUACGGGAGGCAGCAGUGGGGAAUAUUGGGCAAUGGGCGCAAGCCUGAUGCAGCCAUGCCGCGUGAGUGAAGAAGGCCUUCGGAUUGUAAAGCCCUUUUGUUGGGAAAGAAAAUCUGCAGGUUAAUACGCCGCUGUUCUGACGGUACCCAAAGAGUAAGCACCGGCUAACUUCGUG
rnacentral:rRNA from 1 species